UACGUAGGGUGCAAGCAUUAAUCGGAUUUAUUGGGCGUAAAGGGCGCGUAGGCGGGCCAGAAAGUCAGAUGUGAAAGCCCGGGGCUCAACCCCGGAACAGCAUUUGAAACUUCUAGUCUAGAGGGUAGGCGGAGAAAAUGGAAUUCCACAAGUAGCGGUGAAAUGCGUAGAUAUGUGGAAGAACACCGGUGGCGAAGGCGAUUUUCUAGCUUAUACCUGACGCUGAGGCGCGAAAGCAAGGGGAUCAAACAGG
rnacentral:rRNA from 1 species